UGAACAGGGGAAGGACAGAGUCGGGAGGUGGCAGGGAUAGAGGAUCUGAAGCAGGCUCUGUGGUGACAGCAGAGAGCACCACGAGGGGUUUGAACCCACGAACCACCAAAUCAUGAUCCGAGCUGAAGUCCAAUGUUUAACCAAUUGAGGCACCCCUAUAAAUGGAGAAACAUUUUUAAAAUUUUGCUUCCAGAUUGUUCAUUGCAAGCAUAUAGAAAUACAAUUGAUUUUUGCCUGUUAAUCUUUUAUCCUGGAACCUUGCUGAACUCUUUUAUUAGUUUUAAUACUUUUUACUGAACUCCUGGAGAUUUUCUACAUACCAGAUUAUGUCAUCUGUGAUUAGAAAUAGUUUUACUUCUUUUUCUAUCUAAAUGCCUUUUAUUUCUCUUUCCUGCCUAGUUGCUCUGACCAGAACCUCUGGUACAAGGUUGAAUAGAAGUGGCAAGAGUGGAUACCAUUGCUUGUUACUGAUCUUAGAGUGAAUGUGUCCAAGUCUCUCACCAUUAAGUAUUAUAUACUAAUUGUAGGUUUUUAAGAUGAUUUAAGAUCUGAUUGAAAAAGUUCUCAUCUAAUUAUAAUUGAUUUUUUUGUAUAUUGAACCAUCCUUGCAUUCCUAAGAUAAAUCCCACAUGGUGAUGGUAUAUAAUUCUAUUUACAUGUCACUGUAUUUGUGUCCAUAUUCAAAAGAUAUAUUGGUUUGAAGUUUAUUUGUGAGGUCUUUUAUGGUUUUAGAGACAGGGUGUCACAGAAUGAGUGAAUAAGUUGGGAAGUAUUCCCUACUGUUCUAUUUCUUUGGAGAAUUUGUGAAGAGUUUAUAUUAAUUUUUUUAAUGUUUCAUAGACUUAAGCAGUAAAGCCACCUGGGCCUGUGCUUUUUUUGAAAAUAGGUUUUUUUGUAUUACUGAUUCAAUCUUUUUACUUGUUAGAGAUCUAUUUGGAUUGUCUAUUUCUACCUGAGUUGAUUACAGUAGUUUGUCUUUCUAGAAAUGUGUUCAUUUUAUCUAAGCUAUCUAAUUUAUUGGCAUACAGUUGUUCAUAGUAUUGCUUUAUAAUUUUUUUUAUUUUUGUAAGGUGGUAAUUUCCCUCUUUUUUUCUGAUUCUAAUAAUCUAGUUUUCUCUCUUAUUUCCUUGAUCAAUAUUAGCUAAAGCUCAUCAAAUUUUUUAACCUUUGCAAAGAAACAGCUCUUGAUUACCUUUAUAUUCUCUAUGGUUUUCAUAUUCUCUCUUUUAUAAAUUAGUGCUCUGAUCUUUAUUACUUCCUUCCUUCUGCUUGUUUUAGGCUUAGUGUAUUCUUUUCCAGUUUAUGUAAUUAAAUUAAAGCUAUAAAAUUUCCCUGUAAGUACUGCCCUAGCUGCAUCCUAUGAGUUUUAGUAUGUUGUGUCCUUGUUUUCAUUUAUCUCAAAUUAUUUUCUUUCUCUUUUGAUUUCUUCUUUGACUCAUCAGUCAUUUAGAGUGUGUGAUUUAAUUUCCACAUAUUUAUGAAUUUCCCAAUUUUAUUUCUGUUAUUGGUGUGAUUUCAUUCUACUGUGGUCAAAAAAGUACUUUGUAUUAUUUCUAUCUUUAAAUGUAUUGAAACUUGUGUUAUAGUUUAUCCCAGAGAAUGUUCCAUAUACACUUGAGAAUAAUGUAUGUAUUACUGUUAUUAAGUGGACUCAUGUUGCUCUUUUAUAGCCACAACAAUUCCCAUUCACCCCAUCAUCUCUUUAAUGUGUUCUCCCUUUCUGCAAUUUUGUCAUUGCAAGAAUGUAAAAUAAGUGGAAUCAUAUAGCAUGUAACCUAUUGGAAUUGGCUUUCUUCACUCAGGAUAAUUGGAAACUAAUUCAAGUUGUUUUAUAUAUCAAUAUUUCAUUUCUGUUGCUAAAUACUAGUUUGUGGUUUUGCUACAUAGUUUUUAUAAUCAUUCACCUAUUGAAGGACAUCAGAGCUGAUUCCAAUUUUUGAUUACUAUAUGUUAAAACUACUAAAUUUUUUGUAUAAACCUACAUCUUUGCUUUUCUUUUUUCUUUUUUUAACUGUUUAUUUAUUUUUAAGAAAGAGAGAGAGCACAAAUAGGGGAGAGCCAGAGAGAGAGGAAGACACAGAACUGAGGCAGGCUCCAGACUCUGAGCCGAGCAACCACAAGCUGAGAAGAUAUCUUGGCCCUGAGCUGUGCCACCUUGGAGAAGGGGUGAUGCAGAUAAGUUAAAGUGUUCCUCUUGCCUUCUCCAAUGCAUCUAAAUUCAUAUUUUUUGCUUCAGUGGUAUGAUGGAACUUCUCCACUGGAAACUUGGACUUCCACAAAGACUCUUUCCUAUAAUUGAUUGUCUAAGACAGCGUUCUCCAGGGGCUCGUGGACCAUGGCCAAGAGGGGCUGGAGUCAGUUCUUGGGUCACUGCAGGGUUCCUGUGAGGACUAAGGUCCAUAUGCCUAUUACCUGAUGCACAGUGAGCAAGACUCCUCCUGGAUCCAUUGGUAUGUAGUACUGGAUCCCAUAGACUAUAGAUGGAUGCCAAAUUGUUGUUGUUGAGGAGGGUCACAAAUGAGAGGAAUAUUAUUAAGCCAUCUUUCUGAUGCCACUCCCUCAUUUAUAAUAUAAGCAUUUACUGCUAAAAUUCCCCUCUCAACAUUGCUUUGGCUACAUUCCACAAAUUUUGUUAUGUUUAAUUUUUAUUUUUGUUCAGUUCAUUGUAUUUUUUAAAAUUUCCCUUGAGCCUUUGUCUUUCAUCCAUGGAUUAUUUUGAAGUAUAUUGUUUAGUUCCCAAGUAUCUAGGGAUAUCCUGUUAUCCUUAUACUGUUGAUUUCUAGUUACUCAACAAAUUUUAAAUUUGUUGAGGUUGUUUUAUAACCUAGUAUAUGGUCCAUUUGAUUUAUAUUCCAUAGGUGCUCGAAAAAAAUGUGCAUUUUGUUGUCACAUGGAGUAUUCUACACAACUCUAUGAGAUCCUGUUUGUUCCUCUUUUCUUCUCUUAGCUGAUUUUAAAAACAAUUGUAUGAAACAAUAUGUUUAUAAUGUUUCUUUGGGCAUAUAACUUAUAGAAAUAUAAAAUACUUGCCAAUAAUAACACAAAGGAAAUGGGUGCAGCGAAACUGUACUGAGCUAAAGAAAUUACUCCAGAUGCCAACUUAAAUACACAAGAACAAAUAAAGAGAACUGGAAAUGAUAAUAAAGAAGGUAAAUAUUUUUUAAAGCUA